UACGUAGGGUGCGAGCGUUAAUCGUAAUUACUGGGCGUAAAGCGUGCGCAGGCGGUUUUGUAAGUCAGAUGUGAAAUCCCCGGGCUUAACCUGGGAACUGCGUUUGAAACUACAAGGCUAGAGUGUAGCAGAGGGGGGUGGAAUUCCACGUGUAGCAGUGAAAUGCGUAGAGAUGUGGAGGAACACCGAUGGCGAAGGCAGCCCCCUGGGUUAACACUGACGCUCAGGCACGAAAGCGUGGGGAGCAAACAGG
rnacentral:rRNA from 1 species